AGUAAUGUCAAUAAUAAAAACUCAACACAAAUAAUAAAUAUAUAACUUUUAACAAAAUACAUAAAUUAUGUAUUGAAAUAUUUCCUACUUUGAUUAAGAGUAGAGAUUUUUUUAUUUUUUAUCACGUGGUAUAGAUAUAGAGCCGUUUUUAGCCGAGCAGUGAAUGUCCUAACCCCCCCGACAAAUAUCGAAUUUGCAUAUAAAUCGGGUACUUCCAUCUGUAAAGCUUGAGCAGGCGCAUCUAUUCCAUAAUAUGAACAACUAACACUUGGAUUUUUCUUUAAGCUAUAAUUUAAAAUUAAACAGAUGUACGAGUUCAUUUUUACUCAAUUUUAAAUUUGUUAUAUAUUGGGAAGAGUGGGGCAAGUUGAGACACCACUUUGUAACAAAAAAUAUUGUUUGUACUCAUGAUGUACGGCAGAGAAAUUGUCUGGUUAAUUGUCAGAAAGUUGACGUCAAUUGACCAGAGAGAAAUUGACCACCGGUCAUUUUUUACAAUUUGAUGUCAGGUUUCGCGCCAACUUGAUUUUGACCGGAAGAUUAUUUUUUAAACAAUUGAGAGUAAAAAUUUUUACUGUCAUUUCGCAUCUAAAUAGAAGUUAAGAGAAUUUUUACGAGUUUUUAAAAAGAAACAAAUCGGUCGUUUUGUUGAGUAGAAUGAGUUGCAGUUUACGUACAAUUACAAAGGCUUGUAAAUUUAAUAUUGUGCAGGCAAUCAUUUGACUGAAAAGUUGACCAAAUUAUUUUUGACGUCAAUUGACAAGCAACUGUCAGUCGAUUUCUCGUGAUCUGACUGAACACAUAAAUUACAGUCAUUUUUUAUCACUGGUCUGUAGUCUCUAAAAAAAAUAUGAGGCAAAUUAGUCAUCCUGAGCAAAUUUUGACCGAAAAAAUAAAAUUUUUUUGUAUUUACUGAUAUUAUAAAUAGUCGUCAUAUUUGGGAUAACAAACUUUACUCCAUGUAUGUUUUCUAAAGACUACAGACAAACAUUUACAAGAAAAAAACAAACUUUCCUUUUUUGUUAAAAAAAUGAGUCUUGUUUUGGCCAACUCUCCCGAUUAUACAAAAAAUUUCAAUACAAUUUCACAAUAGACUAGCUAAUAGAUGGCAUACCUUGCAAUAAAAUCGAAGGAAUUUUUUACCUUUCACAAAGUAGGGACUACACAAAUAGGGGUGAGGGAAAUCAAUCUGUGUUUGUUGAAUGUAAGAGAAGAUAUAAAAAAUGGCAAAUAUUGAAGGAAAUAAAUAUAAAAAUAUAUAAAGUGUAUAUAAAUAUAUAGUUAUAUGACUUAGUAACAAGAGAUUUUUUUUUAAUCAUUUUUUAAUCGGGGAAAUAAAUCGUUUGAUUCAAUUAUCAGAGGCGCUUUUCCGAGAGUUUUUUCUUGGCCCCAUCUCAAGGUUCUCUUUUACUAGAGCACACUAUCUAGGGGUAUGACGAAAAAAAAGCUUCUCUUUGUCCGGCUUAAGAGUCUCAGAAACGCGUAAGAGGCUUAAGAGUACGUUGAGAAGACAUUAAAUACCAACGAGCUGUCGUCACAAUAUUUUAUUUUUUUUUUUUUCUGUGACCUAAACGCCACGACGAUAAAUAUUCUUACGGUUAAUAAGUAUGUCGGCAGGAAAAAAAUUAAUACAUUGUUUUUUUUUUCUAUUUAGGGGUUUGUUAAAAAUGAAAAAAAAAUAUAUAUUAAAGUGUAAUUUUAAAAACGCUAGAGGAUAAAAGAAAAAGAAGUUGUGCGAGAUUGAAGACACGGGGGACAGAAUCGUUUCUUAUUUUUAUCUGGUUUUCCAGAGGGAUGAAUAUUUAAGGUGGUGGACUUAAUCUGCGCAAUGUAAUUCACGACCUAAGAAUUUCACUCGCAUAUCACUGAAGUAGCCAAUCUUUUUUUUUUCUUUUUUUGUUAGAAGUCAAGACAAUAUACUCAAGCCCAGAGUUUCAAAUUCAAAUACUUUUGGUUAAAAAAAAUUUU